UUAUUCAUGUUGAUCUGACACAAAUAUCUGAAGUGUAGUUUUUCAAUUUUUUUUAAAUCUGCACCUUAUCAAUCCAGGAAAAUUAGGACUUGCGGACAUGAGAUUUUUUUGGAUUUUUGACAUAAGUUAUAGAAUAUCCAAACAAAGAUAGAAACCAAAAAAUUAGCCUAUUAGCACUAAUUCCAAGAUUGUACCAAAAUGUUUUUUAGUGCAUAUCCCAAAAUUUCCCCUUUUCUCAAAAUAUACCAUUUUGUCAUAGAUAUGAAUGUUUUUUUUGCAUUGCAUUGUUUCGAUUUUUAAUGAUAAUAUAAUUUAAUUUAAUUUUAAUAUAAAAACCUUCAUGCAAAAUUUGGUUCCGCUAACUUUUAAGGGUUUUUCGGUAGUAAGUUAGCAACCAUCCUCUCCAUUUCGUUUCGCUUCAGCUGCGUAUACUAGGCUCUAACAAUUAAACUUUGUACUAAUUUUAUAAUAAAAUAAGUGAAUCGCGAAUAUUUGUUUGAUUUUUACGAGUGGAACGACGAAUUCGACGAGUGUGUUUACGAAUUAUUAAAAAAAAUGUUUUUUACUUGCUCUAUAGGGCAAGUAUUGGUUUCGUGUCGAAAAAAAAUGUUGAGGUUUUAAUCAAAACCAACAUUACGAUGAUGGAUAAUUCCAAAAAAGUGGAUCUCGCAAUUCCCUCUGUGCGUUUGUACGUCUGUGCGGUUGUGCGUCCAUCUGUACACAUUUCCACAGCCUAAACGGGUGGACGGAUUUUCUUCAAAUUUGGUACAGAUGAUUUUUAUGGAAUUCUGAAAGUUGGUUUUUUUUUUUUGUUUUUUUAUAUCUCGCUUAGAAAGUGUACCUCCCAUACAAAUUUUUCAAUUCAAACCAAAUAACUCGAAAACGGCUCAAACGAUUUUGAUUAAACUUUGCAGACGUAAUAUUCAAAGCAAUUGCAACAAAACUGCAUUUUUAGUUUUUCUCAAAAAAGUCAAAAAAGUGCACCUCCCAUACAAAUUUUUUAAAUUAUACCAAAUAACUCGAAAAUGGCUCUAACGAUUUUGAUUAAACUUUACAAACGUAAUAUUCAAAGCAAUUGCAAUAAAACUGUUUUUUUAUUUUGUUCAAAAAAAGUCAAAUAAAAAAAACAUUUUUUUUUCUCUUCCCCAAAAUCAACAAAAUUCCUUUAAUUUUAUAUAGAGGCAGCUCUUAAAAUCUACAAGUAAACUAACAUAAAAGUGUUUUAAACUGCAAGAGCAAGUUCGUGCGACCCCAGUCGUGCAUUUUAUUUUUUUUUUUGUUUGUUACCUCUUACCUUUGGACUGGUUGAACCAAUUUUGAUAAUUCUUUUUGUGUUCGAAAGCUGGUGCCUGCAAUGUUGUACCAAUUGUAAAUUUCGUCCAGUUCUGACUGUAGAAUCGAUGAGAAAACCAUAAAAUUUGAUUCAUAGAAGUCAGUUUUUGUUUUUUUGAUUAACAUGAUUAUUUAAUUUUGGAUUUAAAAAAAAAAAAAUUUUUU